AUAGCCUGACCAGGAACAUAAAAACCCUCGCCAUGUUGCGGAAAACUAAUGGUACUAAUUUCUUUUAAUGGCAACAGUAACUGAAAACUUCAUUGACAUGUCACCUUGCAUGUCAGUCUAUUGCUGUCAAAGUGUAAACAAACUUUAUUUUAAAUGUGCGCAAUUGGUUUUAUGAAUUAAAUUGCUAAAAUAUUUUUAUAGUCGUGAAAGAAAAGUGGUUCACAAUGUGUUAAAGUAUUUGUCGAAGAGAAAUACUAAGUGUUUGGACAAUAUUUUCAUUGAAUAAUGUUUCCGACAAAGGUUGUCAAAUUGACUGACAUGUUUAUCGUAUAGUACAGUCCACUAUGAAAAUUAGCUGUGGUUCUUGUUUCAACUACCUAUUUUAAAAUUUUUUGUCACUUUCUAAGUGUUGAAUUUUAUGGGAUUGGGAAAGAAGUACCGAGUUUGAAGCGUUCAUGAGCAGACAUUGCAGUUGAAUAUUCAAGUUCUGAAUUUGAUUAUUGAUGAAUAAUAAAAUAAAUUCUACUAGCUCGA